UACAGAGGGUGCAAGCGUUAAUCGGAAUUACUGGGCGUAAAGCGUGCGCAGGCGGUUUUGUAAGCCAGAUGUGAAAUCCCCGGGCUUAACCUGGGAAUGGCAUUGGUGACUGCACGGCUAGAGUGUGUCAGAGGGGGGUAGAAUUCCACGUGUAGCAGUGAAAUGCGUAGAGAUGUGGAGGAAUACCGAUGGCGAAGGCAGCCCCCCUGGGAUAACACUGACGCUCAUGCACGAAAGCGUGGGAGCAAACAGG
rnacentral:rRNA from 1 species